UUCAAAUCUGGUUAGUAUAAAAGCAAAUCAAUUUAAUUUUUGUUGAACAGGUAUUAGGACAUAUUUAUUUAUUCAGUAUUCUAGAAUUUCCCUGUAAUGUAAGUCCAUUGUACCACUAUAAUUAAUACAUGUAUUCUGUAGAGAAGUUUGACAAUACUGUAUAUUUAUUAUGUUGUCUAGGUUUUCAAAAUCGGAAACGAAGCAAGAAGAACUUUUCUGAGGCUUAAGUGUUGAAGUUCAGUUAUGAUUGUCAUGCCCUAGGAUAUGCUAAUGGAUUGAUGGAGAAGUAUAUUGAUUCUGUUUCAUUGCAUUUUUUUUAGAAAAGUUUACAAAUAUUUCAUUUUCUACAGAUUUUUAUGACAUGUGUUUAAUGAGUAAAUUUAGUAGUUCUGAAACUUACUAAUUCUCACUUCUUACAUUUUUUUUAUUUCUGGUUUUGAACAAUAUUAUACCUGAAGCGAUUACUUUACUAAAUACACAAAUUAUUAAUACUUAUCACAAAAAGACCUAACUUUAUUUCCAGCGCAUAAAUCAGCCAGUGCGUUUCCCACACAUUUUUACUUAUUAUUUAAUAUUACAUGGUCAUUUAUUUUUUCUGCGAAAUAUGUAUUUUUCAGAUUUGUUAUUUGCAGUCUGCAAUGUAUAUUUGUUUGAUUUUUUUUGCCGUUUUCAACCGUAUUUCAUAUAUGUAGAACUUCACAUAUAAGUAAAUCUCAUUUUUAAACUUUCCUAGUCAAGUUUCUGUUUGAAAAAAAAAUAUAAAAAUGAAAAAUUACAGAAGAGACUAUCGAAUUCUUUUUUCCCGGCCCGCCACUUUGUAGACAUUUAAUUGAUUAUUCUGCAUGGCUGCAUUUGUUCAAAUAGGAAAUUUUGCGCCAAUGUCUGUUUUCCGUUUAUUUUUUAAAAGGUUGCGCGUUUUUUUUUACUUUUUUUCUUUCUUUCAGGAACGUCUGGAUUCAGAAACAGAAAGUAACAUGGUAGAUAUGUACUCAUUUAAAGCAAGUGAAGUGAAACCCUUGAAAAGUACGAACAACUAAACCAAGAACUAGGAUACACAUCAUGGGAUAUUGACGUCAAUGGAAACAAAAUGUGUGUACUAGUUGAUCGCAGGAAUAUUAAUGAAAAAAUUUAAAAACAUUCAGUGAUGGGGAUGAAGUGGAGGCCUUAUCGAUAAAUAAAGAGUCCGCAGUUCAGGAAAUGGUACAGCGCUGAGAGUAUUUUGGAAGUUAAGAAAGGUGAAAUGUAUAAAGUGAGAUUUCAUGAAGAUGGGUCCUAGUAAGUCCGGAAUAUGGCUCGUAUUUGAAGAAAAAUUGUGAUUGAGUGUAAAAGCAAUUUACAUGAAAUAUAGUUUGAGCUUUUAAUCAAAA
rnacentral:lncRNA from 1 species